rnacentral:rRNA from 1 species
AUUGAACGCUGGCGGCAGGCCUAACACAUGCAAGUCGAGCGAGCGGCGGACGGGUGAGUAAUGUAUGGGGACUGCCCGCUAGAGGGGGAUAACUACUGUAAACGGUGGCUAAUACCGCAUACUAUCGGAUAACCCAAAUGGGAUUAGCUAGUAGGUGGGGUAAAGGCUCACCUAGGCGACGAUCUCUCGCUGGUCUGAGAGGAUGAGAAGCAACACUGGGGCGGAGACACGGCCCAGACUCCUACGGAGGCAUAAGUGUGGAAUAUUGCAAAAGGUGCGCAAGACUGAUGAAGCCAUGCCGCGGGUAUGAAGAAUGCCUUAGGGGUGUAAAGUACUUUCAGCGGGGAGGCGUUACCCGCAGAAGAAGCACCGGCUAACUCCGUGCCAGAAGCCGCGGUAAUUC